UUUAUGUGUCCUCCCCCUGCUAACUGACACGCUUUACGAGAGUUCGGUGUCAGCAAAAAAUGAAAGGGGGAAAGUGCUCCAAUAUAAAAGCUUAAAAGAUGCGUCCUUUUUUAGCAGAUUCGCUGCUUGUGAGCCUCUCAAUCUUUUUUUCAUAACAAAGCAGCCGACCCCACCCUCUUAGUUCCGGGGCGUCUUGCUCCUGCUCGAAGGGCUAACGACCAAGCGGCUCCCUUUAGUCUUAUCUUUCCCUUUUGCCCACACAGGAUUACCAACGCAUGGCUUCCGAUAAUUCUUCUGCCUCAGCCUCAGAUUUAUCUGUCAAGAGGUCGAGGGACGAAGACCAAAAUGGAACUCCACCCUCUUCACAACCUGAUUCUAUUUCUUCCGUCAUCCCCGGAUGGUUCUCCGAGAUCAGCCCAAUGUGGCCUGGAGAGGCACAUUCAUUGAAAGUAGAGAAGAUUUUAUUUCGAGGGAAUUCUGACUAUCAGGAUGUUAUGGUCUUUCAGCAUUAGAAUGGUGGUUUGGCUGAAAUUGAAACCCCAGAUUCAAUCCAUGGUCGGGAGGAGUUGAGAACCUUUCAUGUGAUAUAUAACUGACAUAUAUUAGUAUUGGUAGUUGGGAGUUUUUUCUCUUCUUACAUCUAAUUCCUUGAAAUUUUGUGGCCCAGUGGAGUGAUUGGUUUUAUGCUGUGCUCUACCGAGGGACCUGCUGUUGAUUUCAAACACCCGAUAAAUUCAAUCGAUGUUAAUGAUAUUAACAACAAGUCUAGAGGGCCCUUGAGAUUUUAGAAUUCUGAGAUUCACACGGCAGCUUUCUGUUUGCCAUCUUUCGCCAAGAAGGUUAUUGAUUCAAGAGUAAAAUGAGGAUUGAAUCGGGGGAGUAGGUUGUGGCUCUUCAUUUUGAACCAAAUGCCUUGUCUACCCCGACACUGCAGAUCAACCAAGGCAUUUUCCUUCUUUAACUUUCCCUUAUUCAGCAAUUCAGUUGUUCUAUUAUUCUGCUGCUGCUGCUUAAUACAAUACGACUUUUUCGCCCAUAGCAUAGCCCUUUGUUCAUAAA